UACGUAGGGUGCGAGCGUUAAUCGGAAUUACUGGGCGUAAAGCGUGCGCAGGCGGUUUUGUAAGACAGAUGGGAAAUCCCCGGGCUCAACCCGGGAACUGCAUUUGUGACUGUAUCGCUGGAGUGCGGCAGAGGGGGAUGGAAUUCCGCGUGUAGCAGUGAAAUGCGUAGAUAUGCGGAGGAACACCGAUGGCGAAGGCAAUCCCCUGGGCCUGCACUGACGCUCAUGCACGAAAGCGUGGGGAGCAAACAGG
rnacentral:rRNA from 1 species